rnacentral:tRNA from 1 species
UCCUGAUGGCUCAGAUGGUAAAGAAUCUGCCUGCAAGGCAGGAGACCCAGGUUCCAUCCCUGGGUUGGGAA